UACGUAGGGGGCAAGCGUUGUCCGGAUUUAUUGGGCGUAAAGAGCGUGUAGGCGGCCAUACAGGUCCGUUGUGAAAACUGGAGGCUUAACCUCCAGACGUCGAUGGAAACCGUAUGGCUAGAGUCCGGAAGAGGAGAGUGGAAUUCCUGGUGUAGCGGUGAAAUGCGCAGAUAUCAGGAAGAACACCCGUGGCGAAGGCGGCUCUCUGGGACGGUACUGACGCUGAGACGCGAAAGCUAGGGGAGCAAACAGG
rnacentral:rRNA from 1 species